rnacentral:rRNA from 1 species
AGUAACGGCGAGUGAAGCGGCAAUAGCUCAAAUUUGAAAUCUGGCCCUUUCAGGGUCCGAGUUGUAAUUUGCAGAGGGCGCUUUGGCGUCGGCAGCAGCCUAAGUUCCUUGGAACAGGUCAUCAUAGAGGGUGAGAAUCCCGUAUGUGGCUGCUUGUCUUCGCCGUGUAAAGCCCCUUCGAUGAGUCGAGUUGUUUGGGAAUGCAGCUCUAAAUGGGAGGUAAAUUUCUUCUAAAGCUAAAUAUUGGCCAGAGACCGAUAGCGCACAAGUAGAGUGAUCGAAAGAUGAAAAGCACUUUGGAAAGAGAGUCAAAAAGCACGUGAAAUUGUUGAAAGGGAAGCGCUUGCAGCCAGACGUGCCCGCAGUUGCUCAUCCGGGGUUCUCCCCGGUGCACUCUUCUGUGGGCAGGCCAGCAUCAGUCCGGGCGGUCGGAGAAAGACCUGUGUCAUGUAGCUCUCUUCGGGGAGUGUUAUAGGGCAGGUGGAAUGCGACCAGCCUGGACUGAGGUCCGCGCAUCUGCUAGGAUGCUGGCGUAAUGGCUGUAAGCGGCCCGUCUUGAAACACGGACCAAGGAGUCUAACAUCUAUGCGAGUGUUUGGGUGUCAAGCCCGAGCGCGUAAUGAAAGUGAACGGAGGUGGGAACCCCUCGGGGUGCACCAUCGACCGAUCCUGAUGUCUUCGGAUGGAUUUGAGUAAGAGCAUAGCUGUUGGGACCCGAAAGAUGGUGAACUAUGCCUGAAUAGGGUGAAGCCAGAGGAAACUCUGGUGGAGGCUCGCAGCGGUUCUGACGUGCAAAUCGAUCGUCAAAUUUGGGCAUAGGGGCGAAAGACUAAUCGAACUAUCUAGUAGCU